UACGUAGGGGGCAAGCGUUAUCCGGAUUUACUGGGUGUAAAGGGAGCGCAGACGGCAGCGUAAGUCUGAAGUGAAAGCCCGCGGCUUAACCGCGGGACUGCUUUGGAAACUACGCGGCUUGAGUGUCGGAGGGGCAGGCGGAAUUCCUGGUGUAGCGGUGAAAUGCGUAGAUAUCAGGAAGAACACCGGUGGCGAAGGCGGCCUGCUGGACGACAACUGACGUUGAGGCUCGAAGGCGUGGGGAGCGAAC
rnacentral:rRNA from 1 species